rnacentral:rRNA from 1 species
GAGCGGCGAACGGCUGAGUAACACGUAGGAAUCUACCCCAAAGUGAGGGAUAAGCCCGAGAAAUCGGGUCUAAUACCGCAUAUGGUCUUCGGAUUAAAGCCCUCGGGCGCUUUGGGAAGAGCCUGCGUUCGAUUAGCUUGUUGGUGAGGUAAUGGCUCACCAAGGCAGUGAUCGAUAGCUGGUCUGAGAGGAUGAUCAGCCAGACUGGAACUGAGACACGGUCCAGACUCCUACGGGAGGCAGCAGUUAGGAAUCUUCCACAAUGGGCGAAAGCCUGAUGGAGCAACGCCGCGUGCGGGAUGAAGGCCUUAGGGUCGUAAACCGCUUUUAUGUGCGAAGAAUAUGACGGUAACACAUGAAUAAGGAUCGGCUAACUCCGUGCCAGCAGCCGCGGUCAUACGGAGGAUCCGAGCGUUAUCCGGAGUGACUGGGCGUAAAGAGUUGCGUAGGUGGUAAUUUAAGCAAAUAGUGAAAUCGUUUGGCUCAACCAGGCGGCUAUUAUUUGAACUGGGUUACUUGAGAACAUGAGGGGUAGAUGGAAUUUCCAGUGUAGGAGUGAAAUCCGUAGAUAUUGGAAGGAACACCGAUGGCGUAGGCAAUCUACUGGCAUGUUUC